CAAUAGCGUAUAUUUAAGUUGUUGCAGUUAAAAAGCUCGUAGUUGGAUUUCGGUUGAGAACGGCCGGUCCGCCGUUUGGUGUGCACUGGCUGGUCUCAACUUCCUGUAGAGGACGCGCUCUGGGUUAACGCUCGGACGCGGAGUCUACGUGGUUACUUUGAAAAAAUUAGAGUGUUCAAAGCAGGCAGUCGCUUGAAUAUCUCAGCAUGGAAUAAUAGAAUAGGACUUUGGUCUUAUUUUGUUGGUUUCCGAGACCGAAGUAAUGAUUAAUAGGGACAGUUGGGGGCAUUCGUAUUUCAUUGUCAGAGGUGAAAUUCUUGGAUUUAUGAAAGACGAACUUCUGCGAAAGCAUUUGCCAAGGAUGUUUUCAUUAAUCAAGAACGAAAGUUGGAGGCUCGAAGACGAUCAGAUACCAU
rnacentral:rRNA from 1 species